rnacentral:rRNA from 1 species
GGGGGGCCUUGCUUUAAACUUGCAAAGUCGAGCGGAAGGCCCUUCGGGGUACUCGAGCGGCGAACGGGUGAGUAACACGUGAGUAACCUGCCCUUGGCUCUGGGAUAAGCCUGGGAAACUGGGUCUAAUACCGGGUAUGACAUGCCCUCGCAUGGGGGUGUGUGGAAAGUUUUUUCGGCUGGGGAUGGGCUCGCGGCCUAUCAGCUUGUUGGUGGGGUGAUGGCCUACCAAGGCGACGACGGGUAGCCGGCCUGAGAGGGUGGUCGGUCACACUGGGACUGAGACACGGCCCAGACUCCUACGGGAGGCAGCAGUGGGGAAUAUUGCACAAUGGGCGGAAGCCUGAUGCAGCGACGCCGCGUGGAGGAUGAAGGCCUUCGGGUUGUAAACCUCUUUCAGCACCGGCGAAGGUGACGGUAGGUGCAGAAGAAGCGCCGGCUAACUACGUGCCAGCAGCCGCGGUAAUACGUAGGGCGCAAGCGUUGUCCGGAUUUAUUGGGCGUAAAGAGCUCGUAGGUGGUUUGUCGCGUCUGUCGUGAAAGCUUGGGGCUUAACUCCAGGUCUGCGGUGGAUACGGGCAGGCUAGAGGCAGGUAGGGGAGAACGGAAUUCCCGGUGUAGCGGUGAAAUGCGCAGAUAUUCGGGAGGAACACCGGUGGCGAAGGCGGUUCUCUUGGGCCUGUUCUGACGCUGAUGAGCGAAAGCGUGGGGAGCGAACAGGAUUAGAUACCCUGUUAGUCCACGCUGUAAACGUUGGGCGCUAGGUGUGGGGUUCUUCCACGGAUUUCCGCGGCCGUAGCUUAAUCCCUAUAAUCGCCCCCCGCCUGGGGACGAAGUUACGGGU